rnacentral:rRNA from 1 species
GCGGCGGACGGGUGAGUAAUGCUUAGGAAUCUGCCUAUGUAGUGGGGGACAACAUCUCGAAAGGGAUGCUAAUACCGCAUACGUCCUACGGGAGAAAGCAGGGGAUCUUCGGACCUUGCGCUAAUAGAUGAGCCUAAGUCGGAUUAGCUAGUUGGUGGGGUAAAGGCCUACCAAGGCGACGAUCUGUAGCGGGUCUGAGAGGAUGAUCCGCCACACUGGGACUGAGACACGGCCCAGACUCCUACGGGAGGCAGCA